rnacentral:rRNA from 1 species
GACAGAGGGUGCAAACGUUGUUCGGAUUUACUGGGCGUAAAGCGCGUGUAGGCGGCUUGGCGAGUCGGAUGUGAAAGCCCACGGCUCAACCGUGGAAGCGCAUCCGAAACUGCUUCGCUCGAGUCUCGGAGAGGAAGGUGGAAUGCUUGGUGUAGAGGUGAAAUUCGUAGAUAUCAAGCAGAACACCUGCGGCGAAGGCGGCCUUCUGGACGAUGACUGACGCUGAGACGCGAAAGCGUGGGGAGCAAACAGG